rnacentral:sRNA from 1 species
UACCAGCAGCUUUUCCAGAUUAUCACCA